AUUGAACGCUGGCGGAAUGCUUUACACAUGCAAGUCGAACGGUAGAGGGGGCAACCCCUUGAGAGUGGCGAACGGGUGAGUAAUAUAUCGGAACGUGCCCAGUCGUGGGGAUAACGUAGCGAAAGUUACGCUAAUACCGCAUACGAUCUAAGGAUGAAAGCGGGGGAUCGCAAGACCUCGCGCGAUUGGAGCGGCCGAUAUCAGAUUAGGUAGUUGGUGGGGUAAAGGCUCACCAAGCCAACGAUCUGUAGCUGGUCUGAGAGGACGACCAGCCACACUGGAACUGAGACGCGGUCCAGACUCCUA
rnacentral:rRNA from 1 species